rnacentral:rRNA from 1 species
CCUACGGGAGGCUGCAGUGGGGAAUAUUUCACAAUGGGGGAAACCCUGAUGCAGCAACGCCGCGUGAGUGAAGGAGUAUUUCGGUAUGUAAAGCUCUAGCAGUAUGGAAGAAAAUGACAGUACCUGACUAAGAAGCGCCGGCUAACUACGUGCCAGCAGCCGCGGUAAUACGUAGGGGGCAAGCGUUAUCCGGAUUUACUGGGUGUAAAGGGAGCGGAGACGGCUGCGGAAGUCAGAAGUGAAAGGCCAGGGCUCAACCGCGGGACUGCUUAUGAAACUGUGUAGCUAGAGUGAAGGAGAGGUAAGUGGAAUUCCUGGUGUAGCGGUGAAAUGCGUAGAUAUUGGGAGGAACACUGGUGGCGAAGGCGGGUUACUGGACUGUAACUGACGUUGAGGCUCGAAGGCGUGGGGAGCGAACGGGAUUAGAUACCCCUGUAGUC